rnacentral:lncRNA from 1 species
AGCCAUCCCAGGUACUGGCAGCAGGAUGAAGUUUUCCUUUCAUCACAACCUUUACUUCCACAAUGACAUGACCAUUCAGGAGUAUUGUGUUGGAUGCUUGUUUCUCUACAGAACAGCUGGAGCUCUGCAAUGUCAAUGUUGGACUUUAAGAACCGUCUGAUGCUCUGGAGGCUGAGGCAGGAGAAUGGCAUGAACCUGGGAGGCAGAGCUUGCAGUGAACCAAGACCAUGCCAUCGCACUCUAGCCUGGGUGACACAGCGAGACUCUGUCUUACAAAAAAAAAAAGAACUAGCUGAUGAAUCAUUAGCAAUAAAGAAUGUCGUUUUCUUCAACACCUCCUAGCUGAGCCAAAAUCUAAAUUUUCUGUGGAGAUGUCGUUAUGUGCAAUUUCACUAAAACUUUUACAACUGUAACCACAGUUAUGCUUCAGUGGCAUACCUGUUCAUCCAAUACCUGCACACCUGCUUUAACACAGAAAAAUUAACUCUUAUCAUUACAGACAAUGACAUCUGAAGACACUUUCCAAUCUUCCAUGAAUAUAUGAAAUUCAAAAUGUCAGAAC